GGGAAGGUGGCUCAGUGGUAGAGCACUUGCCUUGUAUGCCUGAGGCCCUGGGUUCAGUGGUAGAGUGCUUGCCUUGCAUGCCUG
rnacentral:tRNA from 1 species